rnacentral:rRNA from 1 species
AACGAACGCUGGCGGCGCGCCUAAUACAUGCAAGUCGAGCGAGAAGACGUAGCAAUACGUUUGUAAAGCGGCGAACGGGUGAGGAAUACAUGGGUAACCUACCCUCGAGUGGGGAAUAACUAGCCGAAAGGUUAGCUAAUACCGCGUACGCUCCUUGGACUUCGGUUCAGGGAGGAAAGCGAUACCGUGGGUAUCGCGCUCUUGGAUGGGCUCAUGUCCUAUCAGCUUGUUGGUGAGGUAACGGCUCACCAAGGCUUCGACGGGUAGCUGGUCUGAGAGGACAAUCAGCCACACUGGCACUGCGACACGGGCCAGACUCCUACGGGAGGCAGCAGUAAGGAAUAUUGCGCAAUGGGCGAAAGCCUGACGCAGCGACGCCGCGUGGGGGAUGAAGGUCUUCGGAUUGUAAACCCCUUUCGGGAGGGAAGAUGGAACGAGCAAUCGUUCGGACGGUACCUCCAGAAGCAGCCACGGCUAACUUCGUGCCAGCAGCCG